rnacentral:tRNA from 1 species
GCUGAUAAAGCCAAAUAAGAGGUAUUGAUCUUGUAAAUCAAAGAUUGAGUUUUCUCUAUCAGCU